rnacentral:lncRNA from 1 species
UGUCUUUCCUAAUUAUUUUAUUAGGAAAUGGCAUGCAAAAUGGCAGGGCCAGAAGAGUGUUUGCUUGAGCCACAGAGUCAAAAGCUGAAGGCAGGUGCUGUUGAACUGAAUGCUCCCUCCUGCACUGGGAAACCCGUCCUGCCCUGUCGGAUCCCAUCCCACCAGAGCUCUGCAAAGCUUUCAAGUCAAACCUCAGCAAGUAUUUGGGCCAGACCAGCGAGGUGCUUCCAGCUGCAGAGGAUUCAGGCUCUACCUAAUGAGGCUGCGGCGCUGAAAGGAGCUCCUCAACAAAGGAAGAAAAGAGAGCAGAAUGGGGACGGCACUCUUUGGAGCAGGAGGAGGCAUCAGCUCAGCAAACACGAGCUGGGAGGCUAUUCUGAGAAUAGCAGGCGGCCUUAAAAGCAGAUGUGGAGUAAGGAGCAGGCAGAAGAGGUGACUGAUGAGAGGAGAGACAGGCGGCACUUUCGGGAGCUAUUCAGGUAACAGGAUGUAUAAUGGAGUGGUGCAAAGGACUGGAGUGGGGAAGAUCCUCCCAUUACUGGCUCUAGCUCAACAUUUGUAGAUGUGGCUUUUCAGCUUUGUAGCCC